CAGUUAAUUCCUCUAAACGGUUACUUACUGACCGUUAGCUACCUGCGGUACUCCAGGCCAGUAGUGAGGAAGAUAGAGAAAGUCCUGCUACUUAGGGGACCUAGAUAGUAGCCCAAGAUUACAAAGGCAGUUGUGAUGGAGAACGUGAGGUUGCUAAUCCCGUUUUGGGAGGGUCAAGGACGGCCUCCCCGAAAGACCCGGCUUUACAGAGCAGAACUUCUGGACAGCAUAGCUAAGGAAAGAGUGGCUGCUUGCUUCCACAUGUCUGGUCACAGGCUCUCUUCAGAGACAGGACCCGAUGGCUGAAAGGAAAAAGCUCCUCCUGCUGGAAAUCAGUGUGAGAAGUUACUAGAUCAGAUAAUCAGAGGAAAACUGUGGUUGAACUUCAGUGAGGAGCUUACCAGGUACUGUUAACAACUAACACAAAAGUAAUUCCAAGUCAACAGACACACGAUACAAAGUACUUGAAAGUCUGUCCUAAAACCUCAGAGGAAUCGGAGGAAUCAUCCCAAAGCAGAUAACUGCAGGAAGUGUCGCCUCCCAGAGACCCACCAGACAAGAUCGCCAGAGCUGCAAAUUGCCUUUUGCUCUUUUUCUUUGAGCUUUCCUCUCUGCCAAGUUAAGGUUUAAAUUGUUGACACUUUUUAUCUAUGAACUAUGAUACUUUGAAAGUCUUUAUCCUUAAUACUGUUUUCUUUGUUUUUUUCCCCAAUUGCUCACUCCUUGGUGUGAAUCCAGUGCUAGGCUGCAGUUUGCUCAUGGUUUGGUAACAGUACGCAAUUACCCUGUCUACUGGGUUUGUACUCAAUUUUCUUCAGGUGCCACCCAGCUUCCUUUGCUAUCAAUUUGUUGGAAUUAAUCCACUCAUUUCCUUCCUUGGUGGGUAAGACUCAACCAGGAGGUGGGCAGGGGAUGAAAAGUAAGAGGCCAAACAACCAGAAUUUUAAAACCCCCUGUUAUGUCAUACAUAGAAAGGAAGGUUUCAGCCCUAAAUAAAACAAUUCUCCCAAAAACUUUUGUGAAAAUUUAGCUAUUCCAAGCAAAUUUUCACAAAAGUCAGUGAUGGAGGAUGAAAGGCGUGAUAAGGGGGUACUUUGAGAAAACAUAAAACAGGGAAUUCAUUGACGGUUGAGUGGUUGGGACGCCACACUUUCACUGCCAAGGGCUGGGAUUCAAUCUGUGUUUGGGGAGCUAAGAGCCGCAAACCACACAGUGCAGCAAAAGAGGGAAAAAAAGAAAACAGAGAAGACAGUAAGAGGAAAUGAGACAGUUAAGAGUUCCGUGAGGGAAGAUGGGCCCCAUAGGGUACUCAAUCAAAAAAGAAAGAGAGAGGUAACUAUGCCUCUGGCGAGGCCCCAAAGAAGUAGGAGCUAGUGCCAUCGAGUCUGUAAAUGGUCUGGAACUUGGGCCUCUGUGGAAUCCAGUCAGAAGGUAGAAGCCAGAGGUAUACGGGCUGAGAGAGGGCCUGGUUGCAGGUUUUCUGAGGCUCCCUGAGAGGCUGAAGGUAGAGACUGAGCUGACCUUGCUCAGAGGAAUGAUGGGAAG